CCUACGGGCGGCUGCAGUAGGGAAUAUUGGACAAUGGGUGCGAGCCUGAUCCAGCCAUGCCGCGUGCAGGAAGAAGGCGUUAUGCGUUGUAAACUGCUUUUGCCAGGGGAUAAAAUAACUGUGCGCAGUUGAUUGAAGGUACCUGGUGAAUAAGCCACGGCUAACUACGGGCCAGCAGCCGCGGUAAUACGUAGGUGGCAAGCGUUGUCCGGAUUUAUUGGGUGCGAAGGCGGCCCAGGAGGUCCGUGGAUACAUCUCUCAGCUUAACUGAGAGGGUGCCAUUGAUACUGCGGGGCUUGAGUACAGAUGAGGUAGGCGGAAUUGACGGUGUAGCGGUGAAAUGCAUAGAUAUCGUCAAGAACACCGAUAGCGAAGGCAGCUUACCAAGCUGUAACUGACGCUGAGGCACGAAAGUGUGGGGAUCAAACAGGAUUAGAUACCCGGGUAGUC
rnacentral:rRNA from 1 species